rnacentral:rRNA from 1 species
CCUACGGGUGGCAGCAGUGGGGAAUUUUGGACAAUGGGCGCAAGCCUGAUCCAGCUAUUCCGCGUGUGGGAUGAAGGCCCUCGGGUUGUAAACCACUUUUGUAGAGAACGAAAAGACACCUUUUAAUAAAGGGUGUUGCUGACGGUACUCUAAGAAUAAGCACCGGCUAACUACGUGCCAGCAGCCGCGGUAAUACGUAGGGUGCGAGCGUUAAUCGGAAUUACUGGGCGUAAAGGGUGCGCAGGCGGUUGAGUAAGACAGAUGUGAAAUCCCCGCGCUCAACGUGGGAACUGCCUUUGAAACUGGCAAACUGGAGUGUGUGAGAGGAUAGUGGAAUUCCAGGUGUAGGAGUGAAAUCCGUAGAUAUCUGGAGGAACAUCAGUGGCGAAGGCGACUAUCUGGCACAUAACUGACGCUGAGGAGCGAAAGCGUGGGUAGCAAACAGGAUUAGAUACCCCAGUAGUC